UGGUGGAGUGAUUUGUCUGGUUAAUUCCGUUAACGAACGAGACCCCUGCCUGCCAAAUAGUCAAAUGAGUGAUUUUUCACUGAUUGUGGCUUCUUAGAGGGACGCGCAUUUUAUUAGAUGCAGGAGGAUAGGGGCAAUAACA
rnacentral:rRNA from 1 species